UCCAUGGUGGCUCAGAUGGUAAAGAAUCUGCCUGCAAUGCAGAAGACCUGGGUUCAAUCCCUGGGUCAGGAA
rfam:TPA: Bos taurus chromosome 15, whole genome shotgun sequence.